AGAGGUUAAGAAGACCUGCUAAGCCUUCGAUCUGAGAUAACAACCAGCCCUCUCUU
rnacentral:tRNA from 1 species